UGUCGUCAGCUCGUGUCGUGAGAUGUUGGGUUAAGUCCCGUACGAGCGCAACCCUUGUCCUUAGUUACCAGCACGUUAUGGUGGGCACUCUAAGGAGACUGCCGGUGACAAACCGGAGGAAGGUGGGGAUGACGUCAAGUCAUCAUGGCCCUUACGGCCUGGGCUACACACGUGCUACAAUGGUCGGUACAAAGGGUUGCCAAGCCGCGAGGUGGAGCUAAUCCCAUAAAACCGAUCGUAGUCCGGAUCGCAGUCUGCAACUCGACUGCGUGAAGUCGGAAUCGCUAGUAAUCGUGAAUCAGAAUGUCACGGUGAAUACGUUCCCGGGCCUC
rnacentral:rRNA from 1 species